rnacentral:rRNA from 1 species
AUGGCCGCCGGGAGGAGGCUGUCGGAGCUGCUCCAGGAGCAGCAGGAGCCGUUCCUCGUCGAGGCCGCCAAGAUUCGGAGGCCGCGGCGCGGCCGUGGAGGCGGCGGCGGAGGAGGAGGAGGGGCUUGCUGCCCCGUGGCCGCGUGCCAGCGGCUGCUCAGGCUCUGCAACCACGGCUUCAAGAAGAGGAGCGGCAGCAUUGGCGACCUGAGGUCCGCGCUGAGCAAGGCCAUGAGGAGCGCGUUCCGCUGGGAAAAUCUUGGCGGCGGGUGCUUCACCGGCGUCGGCGACCGCGAAUUCCGCCGGCUGCGGCGCUCCGCCGGUCACAGCGGCGAAUGCGAUGCCCGUGCCAUGGAGUUUGACGACGACGACGGCGACGGGUACGAGCGACAGGGAGCAGCGAGGUGGAAGACGGACAUGGAGGUGGACUCGUCGCGGCAGCUCAGCCCGGUCUCCGUCCUGGAGCUGCACUCCGACGACGAGUCUCCGGUGCAUUCCCGCUGGGAGGAGGACGAGAAGCCAUCGACCUCCGGGAGCUCACCGUCAGCACCAUCCUCAGACUUCCACGGCCCCACCUCGCCGUGCUUCACCUACGACGUCCACGGCGACAAGGCGCGCGCAAUCUCAAUGGAGGCGACAGAGGAAGAGGACGAAGAGACGGCCGGCAAGUCCAUCUUGGAGCAGAUCUCGUCGUGGGAGAGGAUCGCAGGGGACAUCUACAAGAUCCCCGGGAUGGUGGAGCUGGACCUGUCAGAGUCCGGGCAGCAAUGGAGGGGGCUCCAGCCUGAGGUCAGGGAGAUCGGCGCCAGGAUUGAGACCCUCAUCUUCGAGGAGAUCAGGAGGGAGACCGUAUGCGACAUGCUCGCCUCACACUGUACAUUAUUUUCACCAGCAGCUUCUUGUUGA